UACAGAGGGUGCAAACGUUGCUCGGAAUUAUUGGGCGUAAAGCGCACGUAGGCGGCUUGUUAAGUCGGAUGUGAAAGCCCCGGGCUCAACCCGGGAAGUGCAUACGAAACUGGCGAGCUUGAGUAUGGAAGAGGGUCGCGGAAUUCCCGGUGUAGAGGUGAAAUUCGUAGAUAUCGGGAGGAACACCAGUGGCGAAGGCGGCGACCUGGGCCAAUACUGACGCUGAGGUGCGAAAGCGUGGGGAGCAAACAGG
rnacentral:rRNA from 1 species